UAUGUAUAUGAAUGUCCAUUGAUUCCAAUACCAUUUUUGAAAACACUUUUAUUGAAUUGUCUUUGCACCUUUGUUAAAAAUCAGUUUGCCAUAUUUCUUUGGCUCUCUUUCUAAACUCUGUUAUGUCCUCUUGAUUUAUGUAUCUUUCUCUUCACCAAUAUUGAAGUCUCGAUUAUUGGUUUUUUAGAGUAGUUUUUAAAAAUUGGGUAGUGAGGACUUGCACUUCUAAAUGAAAUGGAGUAACAUGGACUAAAUUUACUUUCUUUCCUGAAACAACAUUAAAAAAAAAAGACAAAAUACAUGAAACUGCAGUUUUUAAGACAAUGGACAUCAGGCGAAGGACUGUAAUUCCUGAGACAUAGAAGACAAGGUGAAUCCUACAAUUGCCCAAGUUUACUGCCUCAGGGAGUUUCUAUACUGUGCCAUAGAGUUGGGGAACUGAAGCAGAACUUUAGAGUUUAUGAGUUGAGGGGACAGAAUUUAGAGUGAGGAAGCCAAAGCGUCAUAGAACAGAAUAGCAGAAAGAGUAGAACUGCAUAGCAAGAGAACCCCAGAGAUCUGUCGACAGUCACCUGGAGUACUCAUCAGAGUGCUGAUCAGUGUGCUUACAUGUGCAGAAACUACCUGAGGGAGAACCCCGGAGAUCUGUGGACAGGCCCCUGGAGUACUCAGAGCUCUAAUCAGUGUGCAUGCAUGUGCAGAAACUACCUGAGGUCAGGAAAAGGAACAUCUGAAAGGAUUACAGGGAAUCAGGAUGCCUAGUGCUUAUAAAGGGGUAGUAACAGUGCCUAUUCCCACUAGCCAGACUUGUGAAAAUUCUAAAGAAAGCAGAAAGGAGGAAGAAAGAACAAAUGGAAAUACCAAAUAGAAACUAAAUAAAUAGAAAACAAAUAGCGAGAUGAUAGACUCAAAUCUAACAAAAUCAAUAAUCAUAUUAAUGUCUAAAAAUCCCAGUUAAAGGGGGGAGCUUGUCUGGAUGAAAAAAUCAAGAGUCAAUAACAUGAUGCCUACAAUAAAUGUACUUUAAAUAUGAUGACACAAAUAGGUUAAAAAAAUGGAAGAAGUUAUACCAUACUACUAUUAAUUUUUUUAAAAACUAGAAUGACCAUAUUAAUAUUAGGCAAAGUAGAAUUCACUGCGAAGACUAUAAAAACCAGGCAUAAAGACAGUCAGUAAUAAGGAUCAAUUGAUAUAAUCUAAAUCAGUUGGUCAAUGGGUAUAAUCUAAAUGUUUAGGCACCUAGUAAUAGAGCGUCAAAAUACUUAUGUGAAAAUUAAUAGAACUGAAAGGGAAAAUAAGUUCACAAUUAUUGUCAGAUUUCAAUAACCUUUCUGUCAAUAACUGAUAGAAAAAGAAGGCAAAAAAUGAGCAAAUAUAUUGUAGGCUUAUAGAACACUGUCAACCAACUUGACCUAAUAUUUAUGGAACUUACCACCAACAGCUGCAGAAUAUACAUUCUUUUCAAGUGCACACAGAACAUUUAUCUUGAUAGACCACUUUGUGGGCCAUGACACAAAUCUCAAUACAUUUAUUUAUUUAUUUAUAUUGUUGUAAGAGCACUUAACAUGAGAUCUGCCCUCUUAACCAAUUUUUAAGUGCUCAAUACAAUAAUGUUAACUAUAGGCAUAUUGUUGUACAGCAGAUUUCUAAAACUUACUCAACUUACUUAACUGAAACUGUAUACCCUUCAAACAGCAACCCUCUAUUUCCCACUCCCCCACUCCCUGGCCACCAUUAUUGUAUUCUUUAUCUAUGAUUUUGAUGAUUUUAGAUAUGUCAUGUAAGUGGAAUGAUGCAGUAUUUGUCCUUUUAUUACUGGCUUAUUUUACUUAGCAUAAUGUUGUCCAGGUUCAUUCAUGGUAUUGUGUGUGUCAGGAUUUCCUUCGUUUUCAAGGCUGAGUAAUAUUUCAUUGUAUGUAUGUACCACAUUUUCUUUAUCCAUUCAUGUGUCCGUAGCUAUUUAGGUUUAUUUUCCCCAUGUUAUUGCAGACUUCUGAUUCUUUCGUAGUAAUGGCUAUAUAAUAUUCAAUGAAUUUCACUUUUUAGAAUAAAAUUUAUAAUUUCAUUUGUUUCCCUAUUGUGUAUAGUAUGAUUGCAAACAUUUUCUUAUUUUAAAUAAUUUCUUUAAAACAGAUCCCCAGGAGUGGUAUUACUAAACAAGAGUGGGUCAUCAAUUUUACCACAUAUUUUAAGGUAUAUUUUGCUAUAAGUGGAGCAUAUAGUUCGUUAAACAACAUGAUUUGGGUAUAGAAACAGUCUUAGCUAUACCUGGGUAAAUUUUUUAAAUUUAUUUUUAUUUUUUUGCUUCAAUUUUAUUGAUAUAUAAUUGGCAUACAGCACUAUAUAAGUUUAAGAUGUACAGCAUAAUGAUUUAACUUAUCUACAUCAUGCAGUGAUUAUCACAAUAAGUUUAGUGAACACAAAAUAUUAUUUUUAAAUCGGGAAAUAAUCUUUUUUAAAAACUGGGCCUAUUCUGUUUGAGUUUAAAAAACACACACAGAGACCUGUUGGUGUUUCUUUCCUUUUCAUGUGGCAUUUUUUUUUUAAAGAAGAUUUUGUAGUUACAGUUAAUUUUUCUAAGAAUGUUUCACCUACUCUUAAUUAAUCCUGGCUACUUAUCAGAAACACUUACGUGAGUAUGUAAACAUAUAGAGAAUUCUGUCUUGUUCCGAAGGUAUUUGAGAUUGUUUUAAACAAAUUCUGGUGUGAAAUGAAGGGAAAGUAACAAAAUAAGAAAUGAUUUCUUAGAGAACUGUAUAAAUAGCAAAACAUAGGCUCAUCAGUUGAGAGAAAAAGUGCCUAUCAGACUGGACUAUACUGCAAUGCACUGCGAGUAUUUGAUCAUUUUUAGAGAGGUGGCUUCUGGAAAUUUUAAUUAGUUUUGGAUCUUUUGCUGUAAGUGAAAAUGAUAAAAUACGUUGCACUGAAUAAAAGUUACCUUUCUGGUCAUCCCCAAGAAUUUGGUGUGUGUAUCAAUCAAAAACUUCAGUGUAACUUAAUUGUAAGUAACACAUUCUGACUUAAGCAGUAAAGGAAUUCAUUUGAAGGAUGUCAAACAGUUCACAGAACUGAUGGGAUUGAAGAACCAGAUAUAGAAAUGGGCAGGAAAGUGAGUAGAUGGAAUUAUAGCCAAAGAAAGAUCAGUCCAGGAUCUUACCCUGGCUUUGCAGUCAUUGCACACUGACAGUGCUGGAUUCCCACUUCUUCAGUGAUUUUUCCAGUUUCCCCUGUGUCUUUGCCACAGCCUCUCAAGAAUCAAAAUUGGUAGGAGCAAAUGACUGGCAAACCAGGUACCCUUCCUGUCAAGCAGUAGGAAGCAGAAGGACCUGGACUCUUCUGCUAUGGAAGAUGAAGAACCUGAUGCCCGAAGGUUACGGGAGAGCUUCGACUGAAAACAGGUCUUUUGGAAAGUCAAAAGGAUGCCUUGACUGGGAGGCACACUUGGAGCUGGAGCUCUUCUUCAAUCAUAGCAUACUUUAAAGAUGUGUCUCUAGCUUCUGAGGGACCGGAGCGAUACUGGUUGCGGACUUUAGAUUCUUUGGCUUUGAGACGUUUGUAUAUUUCAGUUACAAUCAUGACUUAAAAGCCUGUCCUCCCCUGAGGCAGAAAGGAUCUUGGUAAUGGUGAGGGCUGUGGUGAAGGCACAGAGUCUUCAUUGUGACUUACCCUCCUACCCACUUCCCUGGUUGACUUUAGACAUGCUUUACGAUUAUGCGCAUUAUGUUCUUUCCAGAGCCAGUGAUAACCCUAUAAAUGUGUGUAUAAGGAGUAUUGAUGAUGUAUAGGGGACAUGAUAUAAAUACUGGUGUUUGGAUUCCUCAGACCUGAAGAAAGAAAACCCAAAUCAAAUACAGAGACCACUCGGUGAAAAUAGCUGGACAGAUGCUCUGCAGCAUCCCUUGUGUACAGACCACUAAACAAAGGCAUGAUGAGGAGCCACGGCAUGUGCUCAGGACUCACCUCUUAAGCGUAUAAACCUUCCAUGUUUCUUCCCCUAAAGGGCUUGAAGUGCCUAAGUC